rnacentral:rRNA from 1 species
UACGUAGGGGGCAAGCGUUGUCCGGAUUUACUGGGCGUAAAGCGCGCGUAGGCGGAACGAUCAGUCCGGUCUGAAAGCCCCGGCUCAACCCGGGGAGGGUGGCUGGAAACUGUCGUUCUUGAGGGCGAGAGAGGAGGGUGGAAUUCCGUGGUGUAGCGGUGAAAUGCGUAGAGAUCAGGAGGAACACCCGUGGCGAAGGCGGCUCUCUGGGACGGUACUGGACGCUGAGACGCGAAAGCGUGGGGAGCGAACAGG